AAAUGAUGAAAUAACCCAAUAUAGCUGGAAUUACCGGCAGAUGUUAUGGUGGUGAACAGAAGGUUUUCUGAAG